AUUGAACGCUGGCGGCAUGCCUUACACAUGCAAGUCGAACGGCAGCACGGGAGCAAUCCUGGUGGCGAGUGGCGAACGGGUGAGUAAAGUAUCGGAACGUGCCCAGUCGUGGGGGAUAACGUAGCGAAAGUUACGCUAAUACCGCAUACGAUCUAUGGAUGAAAGCGGGGGAUCGCAAGACCUCGCGCGAUUGGAGCGGCCGAUAUCAGAUUAGGUAGUUGGGGGGGUAAAGGCUCACCAAGCCGACGAUCUGUAGCUGGUCUGAGAGGACGACCAGCCACACUGGGACUGAGACACGGCCCAGACUCCUACGGGAGGGAGCAGUGAGGAAUUUUGGACAAUGGGCGAAAGCCUGAUCCAGCCAUGCCGCGUGCAGGAUGAAGGCCUUCGGGUUGUAAACUGCUUUUGUACGGAACGAAAAGGUUUGGGCUAAUAAGCUGAGCUCAUGACGGUACCGUAAGAAUAAGCACCGGCUAACUACGUGCCAGCAGCCGCCGUAA
rnacentral:rRNA from 1 species